CUCUAGUGGUAGCUGUUUUAUUGGGCCUAAAGCGUUCGUAGCCGGUUUAAUAAGUCUCUGGUGAAAUCCUAUAGCUUAACUGUGGGAAUUGCUGGAGAUACUAUUAGACUUGAGAUCGGGAGAGGUCAGAGGUACUCCUGGGGUAGGGGUGAAAUCCUGUAAUCCUAGGAGGACCACCUGUGGCGAAGGCGUCUGACUAGAACGAAUCUGACGGUGAGGAACGAAAGCUAGGGGCGCGAACCGGAUUAGAUACCCGGGUAGUCCUAGCCGUAAACUAUGCGGACUUGGUGUGAGGGUGGCUUUGAGCCGUCCUGGUGCCGAAGGGAAGCUGUUAAGUCCGCCGCCUGGGAAGUACGGUCGCAAGACUGAAACUUAAGGAAUUGGCGGGGGAGCACCACAACGCGUGGAGCCUGCGGUUUAAUUGGAUUCAACGCCGGAGAUCUCACCAGCGGCGACAGCAGUAUGAUGACCAGGUUGAUGACUUUGUUUGACAAGCUGAGAGGUGGUGCAUGG
rnacentral:rRNA from 1 species